rnacentral:tmRNA from 1 species
AGGCGCUACUUCAGCAGGCUGGUCCAAUGUUGGUGCUCAGCAACGGCGGAUGAGACUUUUCUGGGCUAGCGAACGCUCUAAGCCGGUCAGUGGGCGUGGGCGGUUGCGAAUCCUAAAACAUUGACUACGCACGUAGGACCGUUGUGCUGAAUAUCUUCGGACAGGGGUUCAACUCCCCUCACCUCCACCA